UGCGUUGGAAGGGGACUUAAAUAGCAUCUAAUGCAAAGCCCUGGCCCAGCUGUAACUGCCCUGGCAGUGCCCAAGGCCAGGUUGGACAUGGAGGCCUGGAGCAGCCUGGGACAGUGGAAGGUGCCCCUGCCCAUGGCGGGGCGUGGCACUUGGGUGGGUUUUGAGCCCAUCCCAGGCACGGGCACGGCGCAGUGCCCAAACCCAAGAUGGCCGCUCCUCGGCCUUAGUGCCGUACUCAAAGAUGGCAGCCGCCGCGUCAAGCGCUGCGGCCUGCGCUCCUCCUCCCUCCCCUUUCCCCGGUGCGGGGACCACCGGAACAGCGGCAGGAGCAGGGACGGAACCGCCGCUUCCCGGAGGAGAAGGCGAAAAUCUCGGGAGAGCCAUGAAACCAACGCAGCGCGGCAGCGUCUCUUGCCUCAGAGAAGCCCCACAGAGCCCAGCAGGAGCAGAUUCCCACCAGGAGGAGCCGGGAAUUCCUCACCAGCUGGAAGUUCUGGAGUUCCACCAAGGUCUUCUUGUCCACCAGCACGUGGCCCUUGAGCUUGCAGUGGAACGCCUCCAGCAGCCGCCGCUGGGACCCAGCCUCGGCCAGGGCCAGAGGCAGCAGGGGCAGCGGGCUGGGCUGGGCUGGGAGGGCCAGGGAGGCCCGGUGCUCAAUGGUUUCUGAGGGAAAAAGGGAAUAAAAUGAAAUAAAAUUGAAUACUAUGGCAUUAAAUGAAA